rnacentral:lncRNA from 1 species
GGCGCAGGUGGGCGGCGUCUGGUUCCAGGCUCCCGGCCCCAGCGGACGUCACAGAGCCUCGCCCACUGCCUGGCCUGCACAUGCGGCGAAUCGACCGCCCUCAUGGUAACCAUUCAUUGCCAGAAUUCUAGAGGAGGGAAAACCCCAGGGCUGCACAGAAUGACAGUCUGCAACGGAAGGACACAAAGGCGCCCAGAAGCCACUCGCUGCAUCUGACUGUGAGAUCUUUCAGAGGAAAGAGGGCUGCUCAGCUUUUCUGAGUCACUGGGUUUAGAUUGACAAUUUGUUCUUGAAGAAAUGAAACUGACAGCAUUGUACCCAUCAAUCACCACCAAAACUCAUCACAGAAGGUCUCACCUACAUCCUCUCUUGACCAACAUCCUCCUUAUCCCAAGAUGUCCAGGAAGAACUAGAAGAGACUGAAGACACGGGGACCAGCCCAGCUCUGCCGUCCAUCAGAUGUGCAAGCUGGUUACUCAGUUUUAUCAUCUGUAUAAUGACAAAGAGUUCAAACAGGUAGUCUCCAGGAGCCAUCCCAGCUGUAAAGUUCUGUAACUUCAUAAUGGUUUUUCAAGUGGGAAAAGCUUUGAAAAGUAUUUCUCUCAUUACUAUGUCUUUGUACCCCAGCACUUAGCACAGUAUCAGGUACUGGAAGGGCUUCG